AGAAUCAACGCUGGCGGCGUGCCUAACACAUGCAAGUCGAACGAGAAAGUGGAGCAAUCCAUGAGUACAGUGGCGCACGGGUGAGUAACACGUGACUAACCUACCCUUGAGUGGGGAAUAACCUGGAGAAAUCUAGGCUAAUACCGCAUAACACCUACGGGUCAAAGGAGCAAUUCGCUUAAGGAGGGGGUCGCGGCAGAUUAGCUAGUUGGCGGGGUAAUGGCCCACAAGGCAGUGAUCUGUA
rnacentral:rRNA from 1 species